UAUAUCCUAAUACUUUGUUAGAAUUUCUAAGAAGUGAAACUGUAUAGUUCUUUUGUUGAAGCUCUAGUACUAAAGUGUGACGGCAUUAAUCGAAAUACAAAGAAUGAUAAGGUUGCUCGUAUUUGCUUAGAUGUAGUUGUUGUUUUAAUUGUAGGUUUAUAUAAACAAUCACAAAUAUCAGUUUUAUAUUUGCAUAUCAAUAUAACGCUAACAAUUGCAGGACUUUAAAUGGCAAUUUACUAAGAUAUCCAAAUCCUUAUGUAACUAAUAUAUUAGAACGAGAUAAAAUAAUAUAUUAAUUUGAUUAUUUGGUUACGAAAAAUUAUGAAACGGAAAGAAAGUUAAAGAUGGAAAAUACUUUCCAAGACAUCCGAAGAUUUGCGGAUUGCAAACUAAAAUUAGAACAAAAAAUAACGGUUCUGAAUUUCAUGAAAAGAUUUGGGAAAGUCUCACUGAGACUUAGUAUUGGCGAUUUUUAUAAAGUUACGAAGAGAAUUCCUGUGAAAAUUGUUAGCACUUUGCAUUAUGUAUUUUCAAGUCUUAUGAAACUAAAAACUGUGACCCACGAGAGAAAAGAAUGUAUUCAAUUUCCGUUUACUAAUUCUACAAAUGUUUUAUAAUAUUUUAUUGUCGAUAUAAUUGUUUAUAUUAUAACACUGUUAAAGAAUAAUAAAUGAUUUAAAUUUGUAUGAUACAUCACA